CAGGAUAUACUUGAUUCAACAGUGUCCCCUCAAGAAGCUUUCCUUUCACUGACAUUUGACCAAGUCCUUCCUGCUUUCCAGAUGCGGAGAGAUAAAGAAGGCUAGAAGUUACAGGAUCCCAAGAAUUGGAAAGGACUCAGAGCAUCAUUCAGACUGACUCCCUCCAAAACUCAACAAUAUCACUUCCAUCCUGUUGGAAAAUAGAAGCCAUGGUUAAGCUGAGGUAUACACAUUAAAGACAGCCAUUGAGCAUGUGCAGAUGACAGCCUCAGUGAAUUGUUGUUCAAGAAACAAAUCAGGUGAGGACAUCCCCAUCCUCUUUCUGGUGUGUAUAGGGAUGUCAGAAAAAGACUUGAAGCAGCGGGAAACAACCUCUUUGCAUUCAAACCACUAAAAUGGUAUUGUGACAGCAUCUCUGGUUCUGCGUGUUAGCAGGAAUUUCUCACUUCCUGCAAUUCCAUAGCCUCCUCCAGGUGUAAGGAGAAACCCUUGUUUGUGCUCUCAAUUCCUUCCUUUGAAGUUGAAUCAUCUGAGGUCAUGCAACUCGGGAGAUCAACAGGUGGGCAACUCUGUCCACUUGUCAGAAGUGUUCCACAAAGGUGGAGAAGUUCUGGAUCCAGCCCACCAUCCGAAUCCAGUUCUCCACCCUUGCCCUAAAGGGGCAAGGAUGCAGUUGGGGAGAACUCCUGGACUCUGUGCUCCC